rnacentral:lncRNA from 1 species
AAUGGUAUCGAUACUUUUUGGCCUGGAGCAAUUUUGACUUGUUUGAAAAUCAUUUUGAUGUGUUAAAAUGAUUUUAACUUAAAUGGGAUCAUUUUGACUUGGUUAAAAAUAAUUUGAAUUGAUUUUAAAAUUGUUUCAAAAUUUUCUAAGAGUUUAUAGUAAGUAUUAAUAAUUUUAUUUCUUAGAAUUCAAAUUUAAAAUUAUUUUGUCAAAUUCAACUUAUAUUCAAAAACACUUUUAAUUUGUUAUAUCAAAAU